rnacentral:rRNA from 1 species
AUUGAACGCUGGCGGCAUGCCUUACACAUGCAAGUCGAACGGUAACAGGUCUUCGGAUGCUGACGAGUGGCGAACGGGUGAGUAAUACAUCGGAACGUGCCCAAUCGUGGGGGAUAACGCAGCGAAAGCUGUGCUGAUACCGCAUAAGAUCUACGGAUGAAAGCGGGGGAUCGCAAGACCUCGCGCGAGUGGAGCGGCCGAUGGCAGAUUAGGUAGUUGGUGAGGUAAAGGCUCACCAAGCCUGCGAUCUGUAGCUGGUCUGAGAGGACGACCAGCCACACUGGAACUGAGACACGGCCCAGACUCCUACGGGAGGCAGCAGUGGGGAAUAUUGGACAAUGGGCGAAAGACCUGAUCCAGCAAUGCCGCGUGAGUGAUGAAGGCCUUAGGG